rnacentral:misc_RNA from 1 species
AAUAAUUAACAAAUAUAAUUUAGAAAAUUUUUUUAACAAAAUUUGACAGUUUAUUAAUAAAAAUAAUAAGAUAAAUAAAGCACAAUGUUCUCAUAAGAGAAAAAAAUAUAAACCUAAAUAAUUAAAAUAUUCUAAUCAGAGUUGAUUUGGAUAAAGUAGGAAUAACUUUCUGGCAAGUAGUAAUCGAUCAUUUUUUAUUUUGGACAUCCAAAAAAGUCUUCUGCAAUAUUAUUCUUUCGAGAACUUGUUAAUUCUGUGCCUCACAGAAGCUAUUAAACUACUCAAUAGAGGAACAGACCGCACUACAAGACUCUAUUCAAAAUAAGUAAUAAAUGUAAUAAUUAACAAAU